GAUGAAGAACGCAGCGAAAUGCGAUAAGUAGUGUGAAUUGCAGAAUUCAGUGAAUCAUCGAAUCUUUGAACGCACAUUGCGCCCCUUGGUAUUCCAUGGGGCAUGCCUGUUCGAGCGUCAUUUGUACCCUCAAGCACAGCUUGGUGUUGGGACUCGCGUUAAUUCGCGUUCCUCAAAUUGAUUGGCGGUCACGUCGAGCUUCCAUAGCGUAGUAGUAAAACCCUCGUUACUGGUAAUCGUCGCGGCCACGCCGUUAAACCCCAACUUCUGAAUGUUGACCUCGGAUCAGGUAGGAAUACCCGCUGAACUUAAGCAUAUCAAUAAGCGGAGGA
rnacentral:misc_RNA from 1 species